rnacentral:rRNA from 1 species
UACGGGGGGGGCAAGCGUUGUUCGGAAUUACUGGGCGUAAAGGGCUCGUAGGCGGCCAACUAAGUCGGAUGUGAAAUCCCCAGGCUUAACCUGGGAACUGCAUCUGAUACUGGAUGGCUUGAAUCCGGGAGAGGGAAGUGGAAUUCCAGGUGUAGCGGUGAAAUGCGUAGAUAUCUGGAGGAACACCGGUGGCGAAGGCGGCUUCCUGGACCGACACUGACGCUGAGGCGCGAAAGCCAGGGGAGCAAACGGG